AGUGAACGCUGGCGGUAGGCCUAACACAUGCAAGUCGAACGGCAGCACGGUAAGAGCUUGCUCUUACGGGUGGCGAGUGGCGGACGGGUGAGGAAUACAUCGGAAUCUACUUUUUCGUGGGGGAUAACGUAGGGAAACUUACGCUAAUACCGCAUACGACCUACGGGUGAAAGCAGGGGAUCUUCGGACCUUGCGCGAUUGAAUGAGCCGAUGUCGGAUUAGCUAGUUGGCGGGGUAAAGGCCCACCAAGGCGACGAUCCGUAGCUGGUCUGAGAGGAUGAUCAGCCACACUGGAACUGAGACACGGUCCAGGCUCCUACGGGAGGCAGCAGUGGGGAAUAUUGGACAAUGGGCGCAAGCCUGAUCCAGCCAUACCGCGUGGGUGAAGAAGGCCUUCGGGUUGUAAAGCCCUUUUGUUGGGAAAGAAAAGCAGCAGGUUAAUACCCCGCUGUUCUGACGGUACCCAAAGAAUAAGCACCGGCUAACUUCGUG
rnacentral:rRNA from 1 species